rnacentral:rRNA from 1 species
UAAUACAUGCAAGUCGAGCGAACAGACGAGGAGCUUGCUCCUCUGACGUUAGCGGCGGACGGGUGAGUAACACGUGGAUAACCUACCUAUAAGACUGGGAUAACUUCGGGAAACCGGAGCUAAUACCGGAUAAUAUAUUGAACCGCAUGGCUCAAUAGUGAAAGACGGUUUUGCUGUCACUUAUAGAUGGAUCCGCGCCGCAUUAGCUAGUUGGUAAGGUAACGGCUUACCAAGGCAACGAUGCGUAGCCGACCUGAGAGGGUGAUCGGCCACACUGGAACUGAGACACGGUCCAGACUCCUACGGGAGGCAGCAGUAGGGAAUCUUCCGCAAUGGGCGAAAGCCUGACGGAGCAACGCCGCGUGAGUGAUGAAGGUCUUCGGAUCGUAAAACUCUGUUAUUAGGGAAGAACAAAUGUGUAAGUAACUAUGCACGUCUUGACGGUACCUAAUCAGAAAGCCACGGCUAACUACGUGCCAGCAGCCGCGGUAAUACGUAGGUGGCAAGCGUUAUCCGGAAUUAUUGGGCGUAAAGCGCGCGUAGGCGGUUUUUUAAGUCUGAUGUGAAAGCCCACGGCUCAACCGUGGAGGGUCAUUGGAAACUGGAAAACUUGAGUGCAGAAGAGGAAAGUGGAAUUCCAUGUGUAGCGGUGAAAUGCGCAGAGAUAUGGAGGAACACCAGUGGCGAAGGCGACUUUCUGGUCUGUAACUGACGCUGAUGUGCGAAAGCGUGGGGAUCAAACAGGAUUAGAUACCCUGGUAGUCCACGCCGU